rnacentral:rRNA from 1 species
AUUGAACGCUGGCGGAAUGCUUUACACAUGCAAGUCGAACGGCAGCACGGGGGCAACCCUGGUGGCGAGUGGCGAACGGGUGAGUAAUACAUCGGAACGUGCCCGGUCGUGGGGGAUAACGUAGCGAAAGUUACGCUAAUACCGCAUACGAUCUGAGGAUGAAAGCGGGGGACCUUCGGGCCUCGCGCGAUCGGAGCGGCCGAUGUCAGAUUAGGUAGUUGGUGGAGUAAAGGCCUACCAAGCCGACGAUCUGUAGCUGGUCUGAGAGGACGACCAGCCACACUGGGACUGAGACACGGCCCAGACUCCUACGGGAGGCAGCAGUGGGGAAUUUUGGACAAUGGGCGCAAGCCUGAUCCAGCCAUUCCGCGUGCAGGACGAAGGCCUUCGGGUUGUAAACUGCUUUUGUAUGGAACGAAAAGGCUCUGGCUAAUACCUGGGGCUCAUGACGGUACCGUAAGAAUAAGCACCGGCUAACUACGUG